rnacentral:rRNA from 1 species
AGCGAACGCUGGCGGCAGGCCUAACACAUGCAAGUCGAACGAAGUCUUCGGACUUAGUGGCGGACGGGUGAGUAACACGUGGGAACGUGCCUUUAGGUUCGGAAUAACUCAGGGAAACUUGUGCUAAUACCGAAUGUGCCCUUCGGGGGAAAGAUUUAUCGCCUUUAGAGCGGCCCGCGUCUGAUUAGCUAGUAGGUGAGGUAAUGGCUCACCAAGGCUACGAUCAGUAGCUGGUCUGAGAGGAUGACCAGCCACAUUGGGACUGAGACACGGCCCAAACUCCUACGGGAGGCAGCAGUGGGGAAUCUUGCGCAAUGGGCGAAAGCCUGACGCAGCCAUGCCGCGUGGAUGAUGAAGGUCUUAGGAUUGUAAAAUCCUUUCACCGGUGAAGAUAAUGACUGUAGCCGGAGAAGAAGCCCCGGCUAACUUCGUGCCAGCAGCCGCCGUAACAC